rnacentral:rRNA from 1 species
AUACGUUGGUGACAAGCGUUAUCCGGAUUUACUGGGCGUAAAGGGCGUGUAGGCGGCCUUGCAAGUCAGAAGUGAAAUUCCUGAGCUCAACUCGGGGGCUGCUUCUGAUACUGCAGGACUUGAGUGCUGGAGGGGAUAGCGGCAUUCCUAGUGGAGCGGUAAAAUGCGCAGAUAUUAGGAAGACCGCCGGUGGCGAAGGCGGCUAACUGGACAGUAACGGACGCUGAGGCGCGAAAGCGUGGGAGCAAACAGUAGUAGAUCCCCUGGUACCCCACGCAGUAAACGAUGAAUACUAGGUGUAGGGGGUAUCGACUCCCUCUGUGCCGCAGGUAACACAAUAAGUAUUCCGCCUGGGGAGUACGGCCGCAAGGUUGAAACUUAAAGGAAUUGGCGGGG